GAGGGUAUAGCUCAGAGGUAGAGUGUGUGCUUAGCAUGCACAAGGUCCUGGGUUCAAUACCCAGUACCUCCA
rnacentral:tRNA from 1 species